CCUACGGGUGGCAGCAGUGAGGAAUAUUGGUCAUUGGCCGUAAGGCUGAACCAGCCAAGUAGCGUGAGGGAAGACUGCCCUAUGGGUUGUAAACCUCUUUUAUGCGGGGAUAAAGGUGUCCACGUGUGGCUGUUUGCAGGUACCUCAUGAAUAAGGACCGGCUAAUUCCGUGCCAGCAGCCGCGGUAAUACGGAAGGUGCGAGCGUUAUCCGGAUUUAUUGGGUUUAAAGGGAGCGUAGGCCGGUCUUUAAGCGUGCCGUGAAAUUUUGUGGCUCAACCGUAAGAUUGCAAUUGAAACUGGCAGUCUUGAGUACAAUUGAGGUAGGCGGAAUGCGUGGUGUAGCGGUGAAAUGCUUAGAUAUCACGAAGAACUCCGAUUGCGAAGGCAGCUUACUAAACUGCCACUGACAUUGAUGCUCGAAAGUGUGGGUAUCAAACAGGAUUAGAUACCCGUGUAGUC
rnacentral:rRNA from 1 species